UAACAUGUCUAUAUCACCCUGUAUCCCAAAACCGGUUAUUCACUGAAGCUAAGCAUGACUGAGCCUGAUUACCUGGAUGGGAAACCGCAUGGGAAAACUAGGCUAAUGUGGGAU
rnacentral:rRNA from 1 species